GUGAGUAGCUCAAUGGUUACAGCUUAGGUCUCGUAACCAUGAGGCCCCGGGAUCGAAUCCCGCUGAAGGCA
rnacentral:tRNA from 1 species